CGUCUAGGCGGUUUGGUAAGUGGGAUGUGAAAUGCCCGGGCUCACCCCGGGACCUGCAUCCCAAACUGCUGAGCUUGAGUACAGGAGAGGGUGGGGGAAUUCCAGGUGUAGCGGUGAAAUGCGUAGAUAUCUGGAGGAACACCGGUGGCGAAGGCGCCCACCUGGCCUAUUACUGACGCUGAAGCGCGAAAGCUAGGGGAAGGCAAACG
rnacentral:rRNA from 1 species